rnacentral:tRNA from 1 species
GGUGGCUCAGUGGUAGAGUGCUUGCCUUGCACGUAUGAGGCCCUGGGUUCAAUUUCUAAGCACCA